UACGUAGGUGACCAGCGUUGUCCGGAUUUACUGGGCGUAAAGAGCGCGCAGGCGGUCGUUCAAGUCGAGUGUGAAAGCCCCCGGCUCAACUGGGGAGGGUCACUCGAUACUGAUCGACUUGAAGGCAGGAGAGGGAAGCGGAAUACCCGGUGUAGUGGUGAAAUGCGUAGAUAUCGGGAGGAACACCAGUGGCGAAGGCGGCUUCCUGGCCUGUUCUUGACGCUGAGGCGCGAAAGCUAGGGGAGCAAACGGG
rnacentral:rRNA from 1 species